rnacentral:rRNA from 7 species
GCAUAUCAAUAAGCGGAGGAAAAGAAACCAACAGGGAUUGCCCCAGUAACGGCGAGUGAAGCGGCAACAGCUCAAAUUUGAAAUCUGGCCCCCAGGGCCCGAGUUGUAAUUUGCAGAGGAUGCUUUUGGCGCGGUGCCUUCCGAGUUCCCUGGAACGGGACGCCAUAGAGGGUGAGAGCCCCGUCUGGUCGGACGCCUAGCCUGUGUAAAGCUCCUUCGACGAGUCGAGUAGUUUGGGAAUGCUGCUCUAAAUGGGAGGUAUAUGUCUUCUAAAGCUAAAUACCGGCCAGAGACCGAUAGCGCACAAGUAGAGUGAUCGAAAGAUGAAAAGCACUUUGAAAAGAGGGUUAAAUAGUACGUGAAAUUGUUGAAAGGGAAGCGCUUGUGACCAGACUUGGGCCCGGUGGAUCAUCCAGCGUUCUCGCUGGUGCACUCCGCCGGGUUCAGGCCAGCAUCAGUUCGCCGCGGGGGAAAAAGGCUUCGGGAACGUGGCUCCUACGGGAGUGUUAUAGCCCGUUGCAUAAUACCCUGGGGCGGACUGAGGUUCGCGCUCCGCAAGGAUGCUGGCGUAAUGGUCAUCAGCGACCCGUCUUGAAACACGGACC